rnacentral:misc_RNA from 1 species
GAUGAAGAACGUAGUGAAAUGCGAUACUUGGUGUGAAUUGCAGAAUCCCGUGAACCAUCGAGUCUUUGAACGCAAGUUGCGCCCGAAGCCACUAGGCCGAGGGCACGCCUGCCUGGGCGUCACACGUCGUUGCCCCCCCAUCUACUCCUUCGGGAUUGCGGGGGGGCGGAUGAUGGCCUCCCGUGCGCCUAGCCGCGCGGUUGGCAUAAAUACCAAGUCCUCGGCGACGCACGCCACGACAAUCGGUGGUUGCGAAACCUCGGUUGCCCGUCGUGUGCGUUCGUCGCGCAUCGAGGGCUCGAAAAAAUGCUCGGCUCCGGCUGGGCUUUCAACGCGACCCCAGGUCAAGCGGGGUUACCCGCUGAAUUUAAGCAUAUCAAUAAGCGGAGGA